ACUCAAAUGAAUUGACGGGGGCCCGCACAAGCAGCGGAGCGUGUGGUUUAAUUCGAUGCAACGCGCAGAACCUUACCUGGGCUUGACAUGGGGCAAGUAGAACCCUGAAAGGGGGACGACCCGUAGAGUCGGGAGGCUUCACAGAUGCUGCAUGGCUGUCGUCAGCUCGUGCCGUGAGGUGUUGGGUUAAGUCCCGCAACGAGCGCAACCCUCGCCGCUAGUUACCAUGUCUAGCGGGACCGCCGGUCCAAAACCGGAGGAAGGUGGGGAUGACGUCAAGUCAGCACGGCUCUUACGUCCAGGGCUACACACACGCUACAAUGGCCGGUACAACGGGAGGCGAAGGGGCGACCUGGAGCGAAUCCCAGCAAAGCCGGUCUCAGUGGGGAUUGCAGGCUGCAACUCGCCUGCAUGAACGCGGAGUUGCUAGUAACCGCCGGUCAGCACACGGCGGUGAAUACGUUCCCGGGCCUUGUACACACCGCCCGU
rnacentral:rRNA from 1 species